CCUACGGGUGGCAGCAGUGGGGAAUAUUGCACAAUGGGGGAAACCCUGAUGCAGCAACGCCGCGUGAGUGAAGAAGGAUUUCGGUAUUUAAAGCCCUAUCAGCAGGGAAGAAGAAAGACGGUACCUGACUAAGAAGCGACGACUAACUACGUUCCAGCAGCCGCGGUAAUACGUAGGGGGCAAGCGUUAUCCGGUUUUACUGGGUGUAACGGGAGCGUAGACGGCUGUGCAUGUCUGAUGUGAAAGCCCGUGGCUCAACCGCGGAACUGCAUUGGAAACUGUAUAGCGUGAGUACUGGAGAGGCAGGCGGAAUUCCUAGUGUAGCGGUGAAAUGCGUAGAUAUUAGGAGGAACACCAGUGGCGAAGGCGGCCUGCUGGACAGAAACUGACGUUGAGGCUCGAAAGCGUGGGGAGCAAACAGGAUUAGAUACCCCUGUAGUC
rnacentral:rRNA from 1 species